UCAUUUCAGCUAAAAACCCUGAAAAGCAAAUCAUAAUGCAUAAAGCUUCAAAGGGUUCCUUCUAAUUCAUCAAAGGAACCCACGAAAAGUUUCCAACAAAAGAAAACAUAUAUAUAGAAAUAAAAGUACCUUGAGGGCUAAGUGGAAUUCAUUUUGUAUUUGCAACUUAGCCAAAGUGUCCAAAAGGUCAGCUUUGAGUAAUCUGGAAAGUCUGGCGGAGAGAGAGAGAGAAAAAAAUCCAUUAAAAAAGGGUAUUUUCGGUAUAUAGUGUUAAGUAGUCCAGGGCCAUGGAAGUUGAUUAUGCGACUCGGUUGACUUAAAAUAGCAUUCGAAGUCUUGCAAGCGUAAUUAAAACAUUUUACACCAAAGGAAAAGCAAAAGCUGUACUAUAAUUGAAAUCUGAUUCAGAGAUUACCUGCAAAAUUUCUCCAAAAUUAGUAUGGAACAUAAGGUAGUUGAAGCUGUCCUCGGUGCUGCUGUGGAGUUGACACUAUCCAAUGUGAUUUCACUUGCUGCUGAACAAGUUAGCCUAGCCUGGGGUUUCAAGAAGGACCUGCGAAAGUUUAGAGUCUUGCUAACCAUGAUUCAGGCAAUGUUACAAGAUGCAGAGGAAAAGCAUGUUAGAGAUGGGGCUGUCAGGCUGUGGCUGCAGGAGCUUAGAGAUGUUGCUUAUGAGGUUCAUGACGUUCUAGACGAGUUUGCUUAUCAAAAUCUCCAGAUGAAGGUAAAAAUUCAGAAUCAAAUCAGUAGAAAGCUCUGCAAUUUCAUUUCACCUUCCAUCCCUGUGUCAUGUCGUCUCAAGAUGGGUAAUAAGAUUAAAAAUAUCAAUGUAUCCCUCAGAAACAUUAAUGAUCAGGCCAGCCAAUUUGGACUCCAAAGGAAAGUUGGGGAAAUGGUUCCUGUACCUAGAGGAAACCAAGAGACCCACUCUUUAAUUGGUGAUUCAUUUAAUGUUGUAGGAAGGGAAGAUGAUGUCUUCAAAAUUAUUGACUUGUUGAUUAACUCCAAUACUCAGCAAACUCUCUCUGUUGUAUCUGUUGUGGGUAUGGCUGGCCUUGGGAAGACUACUUUGGCAAAAGUAGUAUGCAACAAUGAGCCAAUACAAGAUCAUUUUGGUAAAAUCAUGUGGGUUUGUGUGUCUGAUGAUUUUGAUGUGGAAAGAAUUGUGGUGGAGAUGCUAGAAUCUCUUAGCAAAAACCCUUGUGCAAUUAAAAACAAGGAUACAGUGCUUCGAAGAAUACAAGAAGAAUUAGGAGGGGAAAGAUAUCUUCUCAUACUUGAUGAUGUUUGGAAUGAAAACACUGAAAAGUGGGAAGAUUUAAAAGGAUGUCUGUUGGGAAUAAGUAGAAAUAUAGGGAGUAAAAUUAUUGUGACAACUCGCAGUGAUUAUGUAGCAUGGGUGAUGGGAACAAUUCCUGAACAUAGGCACUAUCCUAAGAAAUUGGUGGAUGAUGAGUGCUGGUCCAUAAUCAAAGAAAAAGCUUUUGGAAGCGCUUCAAUACCACUAGAAAUGGAGGUUAUUGGAAAGGAUAUUGCUAAAAAGUGCAGAGGUGUGCCACUGGUUGCAAGGGUUAUAGGAGGGACUAUGAGCAAUAAAAGGGACAAAGAGGAGUGGUUGUCGAUUAAAAAUAGUAACAUUUGGGAUUCUCUCGAAAGGAACGAUGGUAUUUUGCAUGUGCUAAAGUUAAGUUUUGAUCGCUUGCCUUCACCAUCUUUGAAGCAGUGUUUUGCAUAUUGUUCAAAUUUUCCCAAGGAUUUUCACAUUGACCGGGAGCAAUUAAUUCAGUUUUGGAUGGCUGAAGGAUUCCUUCAUCCAUCUCAAGAAGGUCAUCAUAUGACCAUGGAGGAUACUGGUAAUGCACACUUUAAAGCACUCUUAUCAAAUUCCUUGUUCCAAGAUGUGGAAAGGGAUGCCUAUGGGAACAUUGACGUUUGUAAGAUGCAUGAUUUAGUUCAUGAUCUUGCAGUGUUUGUUUCGAAAGAAGAAACCAUGGUUUUGGACACCGACUCCAUGCGUGAUACAUCUCAUAUUCGACAUAUGAGUGUCAUCUUCAAUGGGGAACUGGUGCCAGACAUUUUAGGACAUGCUGCACCAAAGUUGCACUCUUUGUUUUCCAAGGUUGAUGUAUUUUGCAACUUUUCAGGGGAUCUCAAAAGGUUACGAACUCUAAAGUUAUCUGGAGCCUACAUAAAAAAGUUGCCAGAUUCUCUGGGCAAAUUAAAGCAUUUAAGAUUCUUUGACAUCUCAAGAACAAAUGUCACAGAGCUACCAAAGUCCUUUACUCAGCUCUAUAAUCUGCAAACCUUGAGAGUUGUAAAGAGUUCUCUUGAGAAGCUUCCUAGAGGAAUGAAAAAUCUAGUUAGCAUGAGGCAUAUUUAUUUCGAUCUUGAAAAGUUAAUGCCAGUUGAUAUUGGACGCUUAACUUGUCUUCAAACAUUGUCGUUCUUUUUCGUGGACACGGAAAAGGGAUGCCGAGUAGAAGAACUGGGAUGCUUAAGCCAACUGGGAGGAAAAUUGAAGAUAUGCAACCUUGAAGAUGUAAAAGACAAUGCAGAAGCCAGUAGGGCUAACAUUCAAGCAAAGACAAAAUUAUACAAGCUGAAAUUGAAAUGGAGCUACAAAAGAAAAUGCCACAUAAAUGAUAAGGAAGUACUUGAAGGCCUCAAGCCUAGCUCAAAUCUGAAAAGUCUAACCAUUGUGAAUUAUUGGGGGGAUGACUUGCCGUCAUGGAUGUUGAAGAGUGAGUAUGGUUCUGAUCACCCAUUUCCACUCAACAAUUUGGUGAAGUUAAAAUUAAUCAAUUGCAAGGAAUGCCUGAAUGUUCCAUGUCUCGGGCAAUUGUGCAAUCUGAGGGUGCUUGAAAUAGAUGAAAUGAAGAAGGUGAAGAGGAUUGGUGGUGAAUUUUAUUUCAAUCGAUCUGACAACAAGAUUGACAAAACAAGUAGCCAGGGUCAGGGUGAGGCAACGAAGUUGUUUCCAGCUUUGAGAAGAUUUAUCUUAGUGGAAAUGGAAAGCCUGGAGGAAUGGGCAGAUGAGAUGGAUAAAGCUAUAAUAGAAAGAGAAGAUGUGGCUGUGUUUCCUUGCCUUGAGGAGUUGAUUAUUUCUGGCUGUCCCAAGCUGAAAAGUGCUCCAAUACAGAGAAAACUUUCAUCUCUUCAGGUACUCCAAGUUUCCUAUUGUGGUGAAAUAAGCUCUUUAGGGGAUGGACUAUCUGCCUCCUCUUGUCUUAAAGAAUUACACAUCCAAGCUUGUCCAAAUUUAAGAUCCAUCCCAACCAUGGAUGGACUCUCUAUGUGUCUCAAAGAAUUAAGAAUAUGGGACUGUCCUAAUUUGAGAUCCAUACCAAGUAUAGAAGGCUUCUCCUCUCUUACAGAUCUAACAAUCAAGGAUUGUGAAGGAUUAUCAUGCCUACCUGGUGGGUUAAAAUCAUGUAAUUCUCUUGAAAAUUUGAACAUACACAAUUGCCCCAGCCUGAGCUCUGUUCCACAAGAUCUAGGGGAAUUGCGUUCUCUUAUGUUUUUAUCCAUAACAUCUUGUCGAAAGUUGACUUGCCUUCCAGGAAAGAUUCUAGGUUGCCUCACUGGCCUGAAGACAUUGCAUAUUGGUGGAUUCUCAGAACAGCUGGAAGAGUUCCCAGGUCUUACUUCAAUCUACCAUCUCCAUGCAUCCCUCGAAUAUUUGGAAUUAUAUGGAUGGAAAAAUCUGAAGUCUCUACCAAAUCAGCUUCAACAUCUUGUUUCUCUCAAGUCUUUUGAAAUAUGGGACUUCAAUGCGGUGGAAGUGUUGCCUGAGUGGUUCAGAAACUUCUCCUCUCUUCAACGACUUCAAUUUUGGAAUUGUAACAACUUGAUGCUUUUGCCAUCUAUGGAAGCCAUGCAACAGCUCUCCAAAAUACAGAGACUUGAAAUCAACAAGUGUCCCCAACUAAAGGAAAAUUGUGCCGAGCAAAGUGGCCCUGAAUGGCCAAAGAUUGCCCACAUUCCAAACUUACAAAUUAAGUAACAUUCAGUAAUGACAGUUUCUAAUUUCCUGGUAUUCUGAAAAUCAAUGGCAUUACAUGGAUGCUUUAAAUUCAAACACUUGAUCUCUUAGGGACACUAUCAUGCACAGUUGUCUCAAGUGUUGACUCCUAAUCAAUACAUUAAGAGCUAAACUUGGUGUCAAGAUUGGUCUUUUCUUGGUCUAAAAAGGGGAUAUGCACCACCUAAUUCAGAUAGAAGGAAGGGAGUUCUAAGGAGGAAACGUCUUGAGUAUCUUGAUUGUGUUGCUUAAUUUUAUGACAUUCCAGACAUUGAACGGUCAGAUGAUAUGAUUAAUAUGCUUUGCCAGAUUGCUGUUGAUUGUCCUAGAACUGUACCUGAUGUUGUUUUCUUUCAGCAAGCACAAGUCCAAAAGUCCUUGGAGCGCAUUCUUUAUGCAUAGGCCAUUCGGCAUCCUGCAAGUAGAUAUGUGUAGGGGAUAAAUGAUCUUGUCACACCCUUUCUAGUUGUCUUCUUAUCAGAGUACUUAGAAAGGAGCAAAGAUGGUUGGUCAACCUCUGAUAUAUCUUCAGAGAACAUCUCCAGCAUAGAAGUUGAUUGCUAUUGGCGCUUGUCAAAGUUGCUUGAUGGCAUGCAAGGCCAUUACACAUUUGCUUAACCAGGAAUCCAGAGGCUUGUAUUUAAGCUGAAGGAAUUGGUUAGGCGAUUUGAUGAACCUGUUUCUAGACAUAUGGAGGACCAAGGACUUGAAUUUCUUCAAUUUGCUUUUCUCUAGUUCAACUGGCUAUUGAUACGUGAGAUCCCUUUCCAUCUGGUAACCCGUCUAUGGGACACCCAUCUUGUUGAAGAAGAUGCACUGCCUAAUUUCCUUGUUUACAUAUUUGCCAAUUUUCUUUUAAUGGUGAGGAGUGUUUUAACUUCCUUUGUGCUGAUGUAAUUUACAAGCAGUCAUCUUUGACUACAACCUUAAGGAGAUACAGCUGUGAUAAUUCUUCAAAUAAAAAGAUGUGUGUUUGUGUUUUUUCUUGCUUCUUUUUUUAAUGACUAUUUCUUUGGUCAAAAACAUAAUUAUUACACCAACGGGGUUCGUUGAGUUGGUAAAAUUCAAAUACUUCGCUUGUAAAGCGUAGGUUCUAAUCCUGCAAUAAGCAGUCCUCUUUGAUGUGU